rnacentral:rRNA from 1 species
UAACCGGAUUAGAUACCCUGGUACUCCACGCCCUAAACGAUGUCUACUAGUUGUCGGGUUUUAAUUAACUUGGUAACGCAGCUAACGCGUGAAGUAGACCGCCUGGGGAGUACGGUCGCAAGAUUAAAACUCAAAGGAAUUGACGGGGACCCGCACAAGCGGUGGAUGAUGUGGAUUAAUUCGAUGCAACGCGAAAAACCUUACCUACCCUUGACAUGUCAGGAAGUCUGGAGAGAUCUGGAUGUGCCCGAAAGGGAACCUGAACACAGGUGCUGCAUGGCUGUCGUCAGCUCGUGUCGUGAGAUGUUGGGUUAAGUCCCGCAACGAGCGCAACCCUUGUCAUUAGUUGCUACGAAAGGGCACUCUAAUGAGACUGCCGGUGACAAACCGGAGGAAGGUGGGGAUGACGUCAAGUCCUCAUGGCCCUUAUGGGUAGGGCUUCACACGUCAUACAAUGGUGCAUACAGAGGGCCGCCAACCCGCGAGGGGGAGCUAAUCCCAGAAAGUGCGUCGUAGUCCGGAUCGCAGUCUGCAACUCGACUGCGUGAAGUUGGAAUCGCUAGUAAUCGCGGAUCAGCAUGUCGCGGUGAAUACGUUCCCGGGUCUUGUACACACCGCCCGUCACACCAUGGGAGCGGGUUUUACCAGAAGUAGGUAGCUUAACCGCAAGGGGGGCGCUUACCACGGUAGGAUUCGUGACUGGGGUGAAGUCGUAACAAGGUAACCA